UAGAAAUCAAAUUAUUAUUAUUAUUAUUAUUAAAAGAAGAUCUACAGAAGUGUUCUCACUAGAGUUUUAUCGAGGCACUGAAACCUUUCUCUUAAAUCUUUUUUUAAAUGCAUCCUAAAAUUACAACAUAGUGUGGGCUUCAUGACACUAGAAGGAGAGAAGAUAAAAUAUUAAUCUCUUCUUCCUGUCUACUACUCGCUGUUUAUAGAUUCAAAUGGUGUCUUAAUCAAUUGAAUGUCUAUAUCCCUCAGUUUGGCGGCAGAGUGGUGUUCCUGGGGCCGCUGGUGAUCCUCCAGGGCUUCAGAGACAUGGACAGCAUUCUGAUGAAACCAGGAAAAGAAAUUAUGUAGCAAUUCUGGAGAGUCCAGUUAUGUGCUGCUUCAUAAUGUGUCAGCUUUGCCCAGAUCUCCUCUGGUCACGGCUGCUCCCAGUCUCUGACUCAAGACAUCAUGCCUUGAUCACAAGGCAGUUGGCUUUGUGCAGUUCAGGACAGUCGACAAGACAACAAAGGCAACCUGUUUGCACUGUAGCUGGGAAUAUCACCUUAAGCCAGCAAGAAACUGUUGUUCAUUUGGAAUCUAUCACAAGUAUUGUGUAUGUGAAUGAAGACAUCCGAUCAGAAUAAGUAACAAGAGCAAGCCCUCCGAUUAUUAA